GCCGGCGUGGCGCAACUGGCAGCGCACCUGUCUUGUAAACAGGGGGUUGGGGGUUCGAGUCCCCCCGCCGGCUCCA
rnacentral:tRNA from 1 species